GGGAGCGUGGUGUAAUUGGCUAACAUCUUGGUCUCCAAAACCAAAGAUUGAAGGUUCGAGUCCUUCCGCUCUCG
rnacentral:tRNA from 1 species